rnacentral:rRNA from 1 species
CCUACGGGUGGCAGCAGUGAGGAAUAUUGGUCAAUGGACGCGAGCCUGAACCAGCCAAGUAGCGUGAAGGAUGACUGCCCUAUGGGUUGUAAACUUCUUUUAUAAGGGAAUAAAGUGUGCCACGUGUGCCAUUUUGUAUGUACCUUAUGAAUAAGGAUCGGCUAACUCCGUGCCAGCAGCCGCGGUAAUACGGAGGAUCCGAGCGUUAUCCGGAUUUAUUGGGUUUAAAGGGAGCGUAGGUGGAUUGUUAAGUCAGUGGUGAAAGUUUGCGGCUCAACCGUAAAAUUGCAGUUGAAACUGGCAGUCUUGAGUACAGUAGAGGUAGGCGGAAUUCGUGGUGUAGCGGUGAAAUGCUUAGAUAUCACGAAGAACUCCGAUUGCGAAGGCAGCUUACCAGAGCUCCACUGACGCUCAUGCACGAAAGUGUGGGUAUCGAACAGGAUUAGAUACCCUGGUAGUC